rnacentral:rRNA from 1 species
AGAGUUUGAUCCUGGCUCAGAACGAACGCUGGCGGCGUGUCUUAAGCAUGCAAGUCGAACGAGAAACAUGCCUUCGGGCGUGUGGACAGUGGCGGACGGGUGAGUAACACGUAGGUGAUCUACCUCCGGGUGGGGGAUAGCCCAUGGAAACAUGGGGUAAUACCGCAUGAGGCCGGGCAUUUGCGAAUGUCCGAUGAAAGGCGCAACUGUGCCGCCUGGAGAUGAGCCUGCGCUCCAUUAGCUUGUUGGUAGGGUAAUGGCCUACCAAGGCGACGAUGGAUAGCCGGCCUGAGAGGGUGAACGGCCACACUGGGACUGAGACACGGCCCAGACUCCUACGGGAGGCAGCAGCUAAGAAUAGUCCGCAAUGGGGGAAACCCUGACGGUGCGACGCCGCGUGAACGAUGAAGGCCUGACGGUUGUAAGGUUCUUUUCUCGAUGAAGAAUAAGGCAGGAGUGGAACGCCUGUCCGAUGACGUUAAUUGAGGAUAGCCCCGGCUANAUAGGUGCCAGCAGCCGCGGUAAUACCUAUGGGGGCGAGCGUUGUUCGGAAUUAUUGGGGCGUAAAGGCGCGUUGGCGGUUUCGCAAGCCGAUGUGAAAGGCUUCGGCUCA